AGCUUCCGGCGUGACGCAGUAGAAAAGGUGGCGUGGCUGGCGAUUCGUGUUCGUGAGGGCCUUUUCUGCCCGUGCACAUCCCUACCUCCUCACUGGGAAACACAAGUAUAUCUGCUGCCUAGGGCCUUCCCAUUCCAGCCAUGCAGACUCUGGCACCCAGCAAGCUGCUUCCUGCUCUGAUCACAGACCCACUCAGGCUGACCAACGUUCCUCUGACCUGUGCCCUCCAUUACUCUAGGCCUCUCCCAGACUUACCCAAUUUCAGUUGCCUUCCUCCUACCAACUCUUCCACAACCGAAGCUGGAGCUCUCUGUACAUCCUCAACCAGAGCCACAGCUUCCUCGCCGUUUUCUGGAUGCUGCUCCCUCACCCAGGUCUGGAUCUCCUCUGGCAAGAUAGUCAGAAACUGCUCCAAAACCAGCAGCUCCAGGAUUUCCUCUUUUGAGUGGGUCUUCGGCCUCAGCCACUGACAACAGAGUUCCCAGAGUUUGCUAAAAGCUUCAUGUGGGCCAGUUACCUCCUGGUAGCAAAACUGCCUGAAGCGCUGACGGGAGGCCUCGGAGUCAGGGCUGUUACCCUGGAGGGCUGAUUUCUGGCCCUGUGUGGGAUCCUUGUUUGAGGAUGGGUGUGCCUCGGUACUCUUCACUGCAGCCAUCAUUUGCUUCAACGAACUGGCUUACUCUGGUUGCCACUUCUACCCUGGAGAUCAGAGUCCAUCUUUCCCACAUCACUGGGAAGCCAUGUUCUCCUGCAAGGAAUGUCUUUCUGUAAUCCGUGGGACAUGAGAGUGUCAGACAUGUGUAGAGACUCACAGCGGAAAAAAAGGGCUCAACUUUGAAGGAUGUCUGAAGAGGAUGGAAAAAGACAAUAUAAACCUAUCAAACAUUCCUUCACUCUGGUUCUUGUGAUUUACUUCCUAUCCCUUUCCUUUACUCCCUCCACAAAUCUACACCAAGGAUCCAAAACACUAGAAAUAGAUCUAGACCAUCCUGGCUAACUGCCUUUGCAAAAACCAUUAACAGUGAGAAGAUUAUGACACUAAAAGAGAUAGGAUCUAACCAACUCCAUCUUGCUUUUAACCUCCAAACUGCCGUUGGUCAUUCCUGGGUGUGGGCCAAGCUAGCUUUGGGAGAAAUUUAGUUUAUAGUUUGAAUGAUAAUAACCCUUCCCAAAACUAAACUGCCUUUGUAAAACUAAUUAAAGACAACUAGGUUAGGAGGAUGAGAGGGGCCUGAAUUCUGCUAAGAUGCAGGCAUAAUGAAAUGAUUAUCCAGAGGUCACAAGAUUUGCAACUUCCCCAAUUAAAUAACAUCACGAUUGUAGAACCUAAGAUUGGCCUUUUGAGAUGCCUUUUCAGGCCUCUGCUUUCUGACAACCAGAUGGCUCCACCUAGACCAGGGACUCCUCUGUGGCUCCCACCCAAAAUCGCACUCAGCACACAAAAACCGUUUUCCACAGCCCUAUGAAUGCAUCCCCAACCAGUCAGCAUUCCCUGUUCCCUACCCAACUGCGUGCCAAAGCCCUAGCCUCUGAAUUUCCGGGGAGGCUGACUUGAGUAAUAAAACUUUAGUCUCCCAUUUAGCCGGUUCUGUGCGUAUUAAACUCUUUCUCUAUUGCAGUUCCCCUGUCUUGACAAACUGGCUUUAUCUAGGCAGUGGGCAAGAUGAACCCACUGGGCAGUUACAGUACCAAAAAAUAUAGUCUUCUCCCAGCCAAGAUUCUGUGUCUGCUGACGAAUUACUCAAACUGUUCCUGACGAUAUAGUUCACCUGUUCCUUCCCUUCUUCCCUCACACACCUAGGUCUUUUUCCUGUCCUUCCCUAUCCUCAAGAAGCCUGAAUUCAUGUUCCCAAUUGCUACCCUCUCCUCGGGGGAGAACUGGUGUGUGUGUGCUUCUUGAUUAACUUCUUCAUUACUAUUACUCCACACACACACAACGUGGAUAAGUGACUGUUCGGGUUUGCUGUAUGUUUUUAUUUUCCAGCAUUCCUUUCCCACUUCUAGUAGCAGCAUCUUCUUCCUUUGUGAAAAAGUCCCCCUCGACCAGGCGUGGUGGCUCACGCUUGCAAUCCCAGCACUUUGAGAGGCCAAGGCGGGCGGAUCACGUGGUCAGGAGAUCUAGACCAUCCUGGCUAACAAGAUGAAACUCCGUCUCUACUAAAAAUACAAAAAAAUUAGCUGGGCAUGGUGGCACGCACCUGUAGUCGCAGCUACUCGGGAGGCUGAGGCAGGAGAAUCGCUUGAACCCGGGAGGCGGAGGUUGCAGUGAGCUGUGAUCACGCCAUUGCACUCCAGCCUGGGCAACAAGAGCGAGACUGUCUCAAAAAAAGAAAAAGUCCCUCUCAUUGGUUCUGGUGGGGAUAUUAAUUACAAUACCCACUUCCCCAGAAGUGGGCAUAUGACACACAGCUAGGCCUAUCAAAAUUCUUUUCUCAGAUUUUACAUGAGAGGUAGGGAAAGCUCUUCAUUUUCUAGGAAUUGGUAAAUUGGGCAAAUGUAAGAUCAGAGUUGUCUCCAACUAUGUCCCACUCUCUACUCCACUCUUCCAUCACAGGAGUGAGCCUGUUUACAAGAGGACAAUAUACUCAAGUCUUGACAACAUGUUUGGAUCUCCAAGGCCAGUUUAUAGAUGGAGUCUCACUCUGUUGCCCAGGCUGGUCUCAAAC